rnacentral:rRNA from 1 species
UACGAACUGUGCGAACGUUAUUCGGAAUCACUGGGCUUACAGGGUGCGUAGGCGGCUUUGCAAGUCAGGUGUGAAAGCCCCCGGCUCAACCGGGGGAAUUGCGCUUGAAACUGCAGGGCUCGAGUCAGCUAGAGGUGCACGGAACUUCCAGUGGAGCGGUGAAAUGUGUUGAUAUUGGAAGGAACACCGGAGGCGAAAGCGGUGCACGUGGGGCUGGUCUGACGCUGAGGCACGAAAGCCAGGGGAGCGAACGGG